AAAAAAAAAUCAUCAUGAAUUUUGGCAUAAAAAAACGCCUUACUAUACUAUGUCGAAAAAUGUCAUUUUUCAACAUGUGAAAAUGUGCCAUAUGAUGAAAUAAUGUAAAGGAGAUCGUGAAACACACUCCAGAAAGGGUUUCUUUGAAAAAAAAAUCAUCAUGAAUUUUGGCGCAAAAAAAACGCCUUACUAUACUAUGUCGAAAAAAAAUGCGAUUUUUCAAACAUGUCGUAAAAACGUGCCAUAUGAUGAAAUAAUGUAAAGGAGGCCGUGAAAAACAGUCCAGAAAGGUUUUCUUUGAAAAAAAAAUCAUCAUGAAUUUUGGCGCAAAAAAAAUGCCUUACUAUACUAUGUCGAAAAAAAAUGCGAUUUUUCAAACAUGUCGUAAAAACGUGCCAUAUGAUGAAAUAAUGUAAAGGAGGCCGUGAAAAACACUCCAGAAAGGUUUUCUUUGAAAAAGAAUCAUCAUGAAUUUUGGAGCAAAAAAACGCCUUAUUAUACUAUGUCGAAAAAAAAUGUGAUUUUUCAAACAUGUCGUAAAAACGUGCCAUAUGAUGAAAUAAUGUAAA
ensembl:lncRNA